rnacentral:tRNA from 1 species
GGGAGAGGUGGCUGAGUGGUUGAAAGCGGCAGAUUGCUAAUCUGUUGUACGGUAGGUAACUCCGUACCAAGGGUUCGAAUCCCUUUCUCUCCUUC